AGUUGCAGAGACACUGUGCAUUUAUGGCUGUUGUUGCAGAAUGUAGAAGUGUGAGAUCUGUUAAAAGGGAGCCAGCAAGGAGUGGACUUCUCCAUAGAUAUAUAAAUAUAGAAUAAAUUAUUCUCAGCAGCUUAUUUGGAGUCCAAAGCAUACAUGUAAAGAAUCAAAAGGUUAUUACUAAAAUAGGAUACAAGGAGCUUUUUAGAGAGCGUUUAUAGGAAAUUGAACAUGUUCACGCAUUGCUAUCUUUUAUUAGCCGUAUCAGCACUCUUCUUUAAUUUAUCUUUCAAGGAAAUGUAAUUAUUUGGCCUAUAUCUUAUAGUAUCUAAACAGUUUGAAGCUAAUGUCAGUCUCUUUAAAUGCAGUGAAACACCUUCAACCUGGAGGAAUACAGCUUCUCUCAAGCUACUUUGGAGCAGGUAUUCUUAGAACUCUGUAAAGAGCAGGAGCUGGGAAAUAUUGAUGACAAAAUUGAUGCAGCAGUUCGACGGAAACUUCUCCCAUAGGAAGACCCUUAAAAUGAAGAACCUCCUAACAUUCCAUUUUAGGUCGUACUACAUUGUUAGCUUCCAUAAUUCUACAAGAAUGCUUCCUUUUACUUCAGUUAACAAAAGAAAACAUUCAAUAGUCCCAGGGGGAGUCACACAGAAAGAAAAAUGUCUUACCAAGAACCUUGGCUACUCAGCCAAAACCAUCUCCAGGCUGUGGUAGUAAUUGAAGUGAAGAGGACCUUUGUUUCUGAGGAAUCCUGUAUCUCUUACAGAGGGAAAUGAAAGAGAAGAAAAAAAAGAGGUUAGCUUGUCAGAAAAAACAAAAGGAAAAAGAAGAAACGAAAAGUAUCACUGACCUAAUCAAUUGCCAACAGAGUCCAACCACCAUGCUGAUGAAUCUAGACUUCUUUGAGUCACAAAUGGGAAAAAAGCUAUUGGCCAGAUGAGAAAAAUAGACUACAGAAUAAUUGAAUCCAAGUGCAAUAAUCAGCAAAGUUCUCCAAAGAAACACACAUAAUUAUUAAAAAAGGAGAAGAUCUUAAAAAUACUACUACUUAGAAUUUUGUAUGAGUCACAUUUGGAAGAGGUA
rnacentral:lncRNA from 1 species